rnacentral:rRNA from 1 species
CGAAAUGCAACGCGAAGAACCUUACCUGGGUUUGACAUACACCGGACCGCCCCAGAGAUGGGGUUUCCCUUGUGGUCGGUGUACAGGUGGUGCAUGGCUGUCGUCAGCUCGUGUCGUGACGAUGUUGGGUUAAGUCCCGCAACGAGCGCAACCCUUGUCACUGUGUUGCCAGCAAGUAAAGUUGGGGACUCGCAGGAGACUGCCGGGGUCAACUCGGAGGAAGGUGGGGACGACGUCAAGUCAUCAUGCCCCUUAUGUCCAGGGCUUCACACAUGCUACAAUGGCCGGUACAGAGGGCUUGCGAUACCGCGAGGUGGAGCGAAUCCCUUAAAGCCGGUUUUCUCAGUUCGGAUCGGGGUCUGAACAACUCGACCCCGUGAAGUCGGAGUCGCUAGUAAUCGCAGAUCAGCAACGCUGCGGUGAAUACGUUCCCGGGCCUUGUACACACCGCCCGUCACGUCAUGAAAGUCGGUAACACCCGAAGCCGGUGGCCUAACCCCUAUU